GGCACAAAAUAUGAGCCAGGUACUCUUACAAGCAUACAAUAUUCCAUUGAUCGUUACCUAAAGGAAAAAAUAGCCAUUAACAUUAGGAAAGAUGAACUUUUCAAGCAUUUCAACCAUGUCUUGAUUUCAAAGCGAAAACAUUUGAAGGCAUAGGGCAAAGGGAAUUUAAAAUCUAAAGCUGAGCCACUGAUUAAAGAAGAAUUCCAAAGAGCUUCUUGGCAAAGGUGAUGCAUAGAUAUUACUUCAGACGGUAUUGUUGAAUAAUGAUGUUUACUUUUGGACGCGUUGCAGAAAGGACUAUACACACCUUCUUUGGGGAUAUAUAGAGCUGAAAAGGUCAACAGACAAUCGAGAGAGAAGUACACAAACUAGAAAUGGAUCCAGCCGAAAAUAUAACAGAAAUGGACCCAACCUGUUUGCAACACAUGGAGACGAAGUAUGUUCAGUAGCCAUCUUCUAGGAGUGAACACGUCGAAGACCAACCGAUGUUCUUGAUGAUAAUAGCAGACUGUACCUACAAUUAAUACACCCUAAACAGACGUUUGGUAUACUCAUCAGCUUGUUGGAAAAUAAACUUGGACAAAUAAUGAAACAAAUGGCUAAAAAAGAGAAACCUUGAAGGCCGAAAAGUGAAUCACUCCACAAGAAAAACAUUUGCCUAAACUCAUGUUCCGGCAGGUCGACCACCAACAUAAAUUACCCAUCUAGGAAGCUGGAAAGUCCUACAAACAAUAAACGCUUUUUCAACCCCUACUUUAGAUAUCAUAUCUGAUCUAACUAAGCACUGGUUUUGUUCAACAUUCAGGAAACAAGGUUCAAUCCAUUGAGCAUGAACAUACAUCUGUUUUGGCAGUUGUAACUCCAGUAAUGAACACAAGUACCCAUACGUGUAAUACGCUUGAUGCAAGCCAAAGUAUGUCAUCUACGAUCUUAAAACAAAACUCAAAUCCUUUUGCAGUGCUACAUAAACAUUUUGAA